rnacentral:rRNA from 1 species
AGCGAACGCUGGCGGCAGGCUUAACACAUGCAAGUCGAACGCCCGUAGCAAUACGGGAGUGGCAGACGGGUGAGUAACGCGUGGGAACGUGCCCUUUGGUUCGGGAUAACCCAGGGAAACUUGGGCUAAUACCGGAUACGUCCCCUUUGGGGAGAAAGAUUUAUUGCCGAAGGAUCGGCCCGCGUCCGAUUAGCUAGUUGGUGGGGUAAAGGCUCUACCAAGGCGACGAUCGGUAGCUGGUCUGAGAGGAUGAUCAGCCACACUGGGACUGAGACACGGCCCAGACUCCUACGGGAGGCAGCAGUGGGGAAUAUUGGACAAUGGGCGCAAGCCUGAUCCAGCCAUGCCGCGUGGGUGAUGAAGGCCCUAGGGUUGUAAAAGCCUUUCGGCGGGAAGAUAAUGACGGUACCCGCAGAAGAAGCCCCGGCUAAC